rnacentral:tRNA from 3 species
GGGCAAUUAGCUCAGUCGGUUAGAGCGCCUGCCUCACAUGCAGGAGGUCGAUGGUUCGAGUCCAUUAUUGCCCA